rnacentral:lncRNA from 1 species
CAAAAUAUGGACAAUGCUAUGUUUAGGUCGUCUUGAAAUCUUUUGACAGCUUCCGAAGGGCUAAUUUUAAACCUUUUUUCAGCUGGACCAAAUCACUACUUUCCUUUAAACUUCUGGACCAAAUUUUUUUUCAGUGUAAUUUCAACCCCUACUUGCAAUUUGAGGCAAUAAACAUGGAGAAAUAAAUUUGGAAGGGGUAUAAAAAUUAAUGGCAAGUAACCCACUGUCAACACUAGGGACUAUAUUUGUAAAAGGGACGUCAAUUGUGGUCUCGGACCAACUGUAAUGUGCAUUAACGAAAGAAAUAC